rnacentral:rRNA from 1 species
CCUACGGGUGGCAGCAGUGGGGGAUAUUGCACAAUGGGGGAAACCCUGAUGCAGCGACGCCGCGUGUGGGAAGACGGUCCUCUGGAUUGUAAACCACUGUCUCCAGGGACGAAGAUGACGGUACCUGGCGAGGCAGCUCCGGAUAACUACGUGCCAGCAGCCGCGGUCAUACGUAGGGAGCGAGCGUUGUGCGGAAUUACUGGGUGUACAGGGAGCGUAGGCGGGACUGCAAGUUGGGUGUCAAAUCUACCGGCUCAAGCGGUAGCCGCACUCAAAACUGCAGUUCUUGAGUGAAGUAGAGGCAGGCGGAAUUCCUAGUGUAGCGGUGAAAUGCGUAGAUAUUAGGAAGAACACCAGUGGCGAAGGCGGCCUGCUAGGCUGUGACUGACGCUGAGGCUCGAAAGUGUGGGGAGCAAACAGGAUUAGAUACCCGAGUAGUC